ensembl:lincRNA
AUGGGAAAUGAAAAUGUAUGUAGUAACUUGGCAUUUCUAGACAGCUAUUCUACUUGGAGAUUAAUGCUUUACUUCCCUCCCAUUUUUCUCUCUUCCUGUUCCAGCAAGAGGCAGCAGAAAAUCACCUUGGUUGUCCAAGGAAGAUUAAUAGUCUUUCAAUCUGAUGCCUCCAAGAUGAGAUUGGCUAAGAUUAUUUCACAGGAAACUAGAAAUGGAAGAGCAAAGUGAAGCUAAGUGUCUCCUACUGAAGAGAGAGAAUACGUUCUGGUCACACUGACGUAGGCACUGCUAUGUUAUUUUCUCCAUCUAAUGCAUUGUGGUUUGCCCUGUCUAGUGUGUGCAACUUGAAAUAAAGUACAAAUAUGGAUACAUGGUUCAGUU